GAAAAUGUAAACAACAAAGAUCGGGCCCCGGUUCCGGACCCAGCGUACCCGCCCUACCAUGAGACGAUCACCUCCACUCGUCUCCCUCAUUUUGGCCACUAAAUGGCCUAUAUUAGCCCGUGUCGGCCAUAAUGCCUACUCUCCCCAACAAUAUUAUUUUAGCCGUUCAUGAUUUCUUUCAAUAGCUGUUUAGGAUCUCAUGCAAGCGGAUAAUUCAUUAACUUCACAGGUGCGUAUAAUGGUUUGUGUACUCUUAUAAUUAUUGGCAUUAAUAUUUCUUUUAUUUCUGUCCAAUUUGCACGAGGUCUCUAUUCAGGUAAAUUCGUAUUCAUGCACGUGAACAUUUCUUCUCCAAAAUUAAUUUUUUUAUUUUUUAUACAACACUGAAUGGAACAGGCGACGAAAUACUACAAGGAUAUUGCUAGUCGCCGCAAAAGAAACGCGCAAGGAGGCACUUUAGAGGCAAUCAUUGCGCCGAUUUAGGAACAAUGGCCCACACAAUUACUUAAAACUGGAGCUCUCUGGGGGUGGUAAGGGGCGAUAUAAAUGC